GUGAGAACUAGAAACAACCGCCGUGUCACACCACAAAUUCGUGCUCUCGCCGUCCGCGGUGCUCACCGAAAUUCCCGAAUCUCCUAGCCACCGCCGCCGUGCAGUCAAGCCAUGCAGGCGGUGGCGUUCGCGUCGGCUCCGGCCAUAUUCGCCUCCGCCUCCGUGCGGCCCUGCCGCAGCGCGGCUCCGGACAUCGUCUCCUCCGACUCCGGGCGGCCCCGCCGCCGCGGCGCGCGUGGUGGCGCCGUCCGGUGCGAGGUCGCCUCCUCCUCGGCGCCGUCGGCGGCUGGACCCCAGGCCGCCCGAUGGGCCCAGAGGACCGUAGUCGUCCCGCCGCAGCGCCGCGGCUGCCACCUCAUCACCAACAAGAUCGUAAACGAGAUAAGGAAUGACCUGGCCGAGUUCAAGUGUGGCAUGGCGCAUCUGUUCUUGCAGCACACAAGCGCUUCAUUGACUAUUAAUGAGAACUAUGACUCUGAUGUCCAGGCUGACACUGAAACAUUUCUUAGUCGCAUUGUUCCAGAGGGUCCAUCUGCUCCAUGGAGGCACACUAUGGAAGGACCUGAUGACAUGCCAGCACAUAUUAAAUCAUCAAUGUUUGGUUGUUCCCUGAUGAUUCCUAUCACCAAUGGGCGUCUCAACAUGGGAACUUGGCAGGGUAUUUGGCUCUGUGAACAUCGAGACCAUGCUACUCCUCGACAGAUUGUGAUCACGCUCAAUGGGAUCUAAUCUAAAGUGAUCUAUGUUAUAGUUGGAAAUGCAAAUGCUGCAAUUUCAACAUGUUUAAAUCAGAUGCACCGAAAUAGAAACUUUGUCCCAAUUGUGAUAUGAGCUCCAAUGGAGAAUGUUACUUGUAAUAUGAUGCUAGUCUGACGGGAACAGAAUCUCUUCACGAGCUUCUUCUCAUGUUGAGCUUGUGUAGUUUGAUGGUUUAAAGAAAUGCUUUACAAGUUGUAUAAACACUGAGUUUUUCACUCAUGGGCUCCUAGGAAGUGCCAAUUCACUCAAUGGCUGUCGGACAGCUGAUCGCUUGGCUCAAGGGAGGGUUGAUCAAGUUGACGAAAGUUGAACACAGUUUGACGUGACAAUAGUCUUCCUUGGAUGAUAAAUAUCAAGUGGCGCAACAUUGAUCUGGAGUUCUGGACACAAGGUGCCCGGUGUGUAUGUGGUUUGACAAGGAUGGAGGACAUUGCUUUUUGAAUGUAAGUUUGUGGACUUACAGAUGGAGGAGGUCCGCAUUAAGCUUUUGGAAGAAAACUCAUCUAGGGACCAUUAUAAACCUCGAAGGUGAGCUGAUGCAACUGAGCCAGGAGAUUACAUGGGUGGUGAUUAUGAUGGUCGAAGAGGGACACAAGGAAAGCAUGAGGCACGUUGGGGCUGCAAUCAUUCAUCAGCAAGCCUGGAGACCGCCCGAGCAGGGAUGGUUGAAGAUCAACUUGGAUGGUGCUUUUCUGAGCGCGCAAUCCUUUGGGGGCGUGGGGGUUCAUCAUCAGGGAUGAUACUGGAGAUCCAGUCAUGGUCGGAGCAAGCAAUGCAGGGCUGGUGGAAGACGAUUUGAUGGCAGAAGCACGGAUUUGUUUGAAGGCGCUGGAGCAGCCAGAGCAGUAUGGCAGUGUGUUCAACUGGAGACAGAUUCAUGUGAUUCAAUUCAGUCUUCUACCUGGGAUCUGGGUACAAGCGAUGUCCUGUCUGAGAACAUCCGUGGUCUUUUGCACGAACAUUUUUAUUUGCUUAAACUUUAUGAUUUAUGAUGUUUUUAGAACUUGUAACUCGUCUGCGCACGAGCUAGUUAAACCAGGCCUGAGCUGAGAGUCAGGUGUGUCACACACAUACAGGGGCAGAGGCCCCCGGGGCUGGCCCUCUUAAGGUUGCAUACUAAUAAUACUCCUCAUUAGUUA